GACAGAGGAUGCAAGCGUUAUCCGGAAUGAUUGGGCGUAAAGAGCUCGUAGGCGGUUUGUCGCGUCUGCCGUGAAAGUCCGGGGCUCAACUCCGGAUCUGCGGUGGGUACGGGCAGACUAGAGUGAUGUAGGGGAGACUGGAAUUCCUGGUGUAGCGGUGAAAUGCGCAGAUAUCAGGAGGAACACCGGUGGCGAAGGCGGGUCUCUGGGCCGUAACUGACGCUGAGGAGCGAAAGCGUGGGGAGCGAACAGG
rnacentral:rRNA from 1 species